UCUCCGUUGGUGAACCAGCGGAGGGAUCAUUACUGGAAUCGCAAGAUCCCACAACCCUGUGAACCUACCCACACUUUGCCUCGGCGGGUGCCCGGCCUCGGCGCCGGGCGCUGCCCCCGCCGGCGGCCCCCUACCCUGUCUCUGCAGCGCGGCAUCUCAGAGUCCCAGAAAACAAGUCAAAACUUUCAACAACGGAUCUCUUGGCUCUG
rnacentral:misc_RNA from 1 species